CUAGGGAGGCAACUAGCCGAAUCAUUAGCAGAAGCUGUUGUUGGGCUAUUUCUUUCUACCAGGACUGGCAGCCUCAUGAUGUUCUAAGAAGACGAUGACCCGUCCAGCAACGAGGGCAAGCUCAAGCCGUCAAUGUGAACUAAGGAUUGCAAUCUUCAUUUCAGGCUCCUCUGGCCUGAACUUUAUGUACUCAGGGCAUGGUUAAUGCACAAGCAGAGCAUGACUAAAGGUCCAGCUAGUGAUAAAGGCAGGAAUGGAAGUUCAAAACUGCAGCUUGUAUGGAAUCCAGACCAAGUCACUAAUUUAUUUUUUUUAAGAGGAUCAUAUGCAAGGGCUGACAAAACAUGUCCACAUCCUCUAAUAACUGGACUGGCGU